rnacentral:lncRNA from 1 species
ACGAUAUCUGAAUAUAGUACACAAUGUAUGUCAUUUUUUCUUAUUUAGCGAAUUUCUUUCUACACGCUGCCUUAUGAGCUAAUAUAGAUAUAAGAAGUCAACAGACAAAAUUUCUAUAGGAUAGUCAUAAAUAGUAACAAAUGUAUAUAUAUACUUGUUUAACUACAAGAAAACGAGAUGGGUAGCUAGGUAAUAAAACAGACCACCAUACCUUAGCACAUCUUGAAACCAGGCAAUAAGCUUAAGUAAAAGCAUUAUAUUGAAAUAAACUCCAAACUAAUACCCUUUUCAUGUUUUGUUAAAGCCCAAGGUCGUUAUUCCGUAAACAUUAUGUCAUCCAAACUCGGAAACUCAAAGUCGGUUAGUAACUCACUGCAAUAUACCAAUGCAUAAAAAGUAUUUCAGUAUGAACUGGCAUAAGAAAAAUUAUGUCCGCCCAUCUGUUGAAUUUCUGGAAAAGGGAUGACGGACAUGACAAGAUCAUCUGAAAACACAUUGAUAAUAAAUUACUUGCAUUAUGUUUUCAAUAGGCGAAAGCAAAUUUGCAACAUGGUAUACAAAUACUUUGUAAUUUGUGCUAAACUUGCAAAUCACACAUUUUCAUGACAAAUCAUAAAGAAAUCUGGAAAAAGUAUAUUCCGCCAUUUGACAUAUGAUCUGUGACAAAAUCGUCAGUAAGUACUUUUACUUUGUCGCUGAAAUCACUAUGCAUUAUCGCCAGGUGAAAAUUUCUUAUAUUAAUCAUUUUUCUAUAGAUUUGAUGAGGUUUAUUGUUAAUAAAAUGUGUCUUCUGUGUGCUAGUAAAAGUUAUUGCCAACAAGUAACAAACAUAGACAAUAUGUUGUUUAUAGUAACAAAUUGUGCACCUGGUACAAACUAAUUUCUUUGUCGAUCGAUCUUCUUCCGUCGUUACAGACGCCAUAUAUUUAACUGUUUUUCACAUUUUUUUUAAAUGAAUUUCAAGAAUAUGAAAUUGUCACUUCAUAUUCUCUCAAAUAUGUUUUCGAAAGGACAUGGAUGCAAACAAUAAAUGUUGAUUGAAUUGCGAAUUGGACGUGCGUGUAUGGAUUGUAAACUUCUUAUUUUCUGUAAUGCGUCUUACCAUUUACUGCAAUGUAAAGAUGAGAUUAUGAUAAAUAAUAGAAGGGGG